rnacentral:rRNA from 1 species
UACGGGGGGAGCAAGCGUUGUUCGGAUUUACUGGGCGUAAAGGGCGCGUAGGCGGUCAGCACAAGUCAGUUGUGAAAUCUCCGGGCUUAACUCGGAAAGGUCAACUGAUACUGUGCGGCUAGAGUGCAGAAGGGGCAACUGGAAUUCUCGGUGUAGCGGUGAAAUGCGUAGAUAUCUGGAGGAACACCGGUGGCGAAGGCGGCGUUCUGGACUGCAACUGACACUGAGGAACGAAAGCCAGGGGAGCAAACGGG